GACGAACGCUGGCGGCGUGCUUAACACAUGCAAGUCGAACGGAAAGGCCCUGCUUUUGUGGGGUGCUCGAGUGGCGAACGGGUGAGUAACAAGUGAGUAACCUGCCCUUGACUUUGGGAUAACUUCAGGAAACUGGGGCUAAUACCGGAUAGGAGCUCCUGCUGCAUGGUGGGGGGUGGAAAGUUUCGGCGGUUUGGGUUGGACUCGCGGCUUAUCAGCUUGUUGGUGGGGUAGUGGCUUACCAAGGCUUUGACGGGUAGCCGGCCUGAGAGGGUGACCGGCCACAUUGGGCCUGGGAUACGGCCCGGACUCCUACGGGAGGCAGCAGUGGGGAAUAUUGCACGAUGGGCGGAAGCCUGAAUGAGCAACGCCGCGUGCGGGAUGACGGCCUUCGGGUUGUAAACCGCUUUCGCCGGUGACGAAGAGUGAGUGACGGUAAUGGGUAAAGAAGCACCGGCUAACUACGUG
rnacentral:rRNA from 1 species